UGGGGAAUUUUGGACAAUGGGGGAAACCCUGAUCCAGCCAUCCCGCGUGUGCGAUGAAGGCCUUCGGGUUGUAAAGCACUUUUGGCAGGAAAGAAACGUCGCGGGUUAAUACCCCGCGAAACUGACGGUACCUGCAGAAUAAGCACCGGCUAACUACGUGCCAGCAGUCGCGGUAAUACGUAGGGUGCAAGCGUUAAUCGGAAUUACUGGGCGUAAAGCGUGCGCAGGCGGUUCGGAAAGAAAGAUGUGAAAUCCCAGAGCUUAACUUUGGAACUGCAUUUUUAACUACCGGGCUAGAGUGUGUCAGAGGGAGGUGGAAUUCCGCGUGUAGCAGUGAAAUGCGUAGAUAUGCGGAGGAACACCGAUGGCGAAGGCAGCCUCCUGGGAUAACACUGACGCUCAUGCACGAAAGCGUGGGGAGCAAACAGGAUUAGAUACCCUGGUAGUCCACGCCCUAAACGAUGUCAACUAGCUGUUGGGGCCUUCGGGCCUUGGUAGCGCAGCUAACGCGUGAAGUUGACCGCCUGGGGAGUACGGUCGCAAGAUUAAAACUCAAAUGAAUUG
rnacentral:rRNA from 1 species